rnacentral:rRNA from 1 species
GCAAGUCGAACGGUAACAGGUCUUCGGAUGCUGACGAGUGGCGAACGGGUGAGUAAUACAUCGGAACGUGCCCAAUCGUGGGGGAUAACGCAGCGAAAGCUGUGCUAAUACCGCAUAAGAUCUAAGGAUGAAAGCGGGGGAUCGCAAGACCUCGCGCGAAUGGAGCGGCCGAUGGCAGAUUAGGUAGUUGGUAGGGUAAAAGCCUACCAAGCCGACGAUCUGUAGCUGGUCUGAGAGGACGACCAGCCACACUGGGACUGAGACACGGCCCAGACUCCUACGGGAGGCAGCAGUGGGGAAUUUUGGACAAUGGGCGCAAGCCUGAUCCAGCAAUGCCGCGUGCAGGAUGAAGGCCUUCGGGUUGUAAACUGCUUUUGUACGGAGCGAAAAGGUCUCUUCUAAUACAGGAGGCCCAUGACGGUACCGUAAGAAUAAGCACCGGCUAACUACGUGCCAGCAGCCGCGGUAAUACGUAGGGUGCAAGCGUUAAUCGGAAUUACUGGGCGUAAAGCGUGCGCAGGCGGUGUUGUAAGACAGAGGUGAAAUCCCCGGGCUCAACCUGGGAACUGCCUUUGUGACUGCAACGCUAGAGUACGGCAGAGGGGGAUGGAAUUCCGCGUGUAGCAGUGAAAUGCGUAGAUAUGCGGAGGAACACCGAUGGCGAAGGCAAUCCCCUGGGCCUGUACUAACGCUCAUGCACGAAAGCGUGGGGAGCAAGCAGGAUUAGAUACCCUGGUAGUCCACGCCCUAAACGAUGUCAACUGGUUGUUGGGAAUUCACUUUCUCAGUAACGAAGCUAACGCGUGAAGUUGACCGCCUGGGGAGUACGGCCGCAAGGUUAAAACUCAAAGGAAUUGACGGGGACCCGCACAAGCGGUGGAUGAUGUGGUUUAAUUCGA